rnacentral:rRNA from 1 species
AGAGUUUGAUCCUGGCUCAGGACGAACGCUGGCGGCGUGCCUAAUACAUGCAAGUCGAACGCUUCUUUUCUACCGAGUGCUUGCACUCACUUGAAAAGAGGAGUGGCGGACGGGUGAGUAACACGUGGGUAACCUACCCAUCAGAGGGGGAUAACACUUGGAAACAGGUGCUAAUACCGCAUAAUAGUCGACAUCGCAUGGUGUUGAUUUGAAAGACGCUUUCGGGUGUCACUGAUGGAUGGACCCGCGGUGCGUUAGCUAGUUGGUGAGGUAACGGCUCACCAAGGCCAUGAUGCAUAGCCGACCUGAGAGGGUGAUCGGCCACACUGGGACUGAGACACGGCCCAGACUCCUACGGGAGGCAGCAGUAGGGAAUCUUCGGCAAUGGACGAAAGUCUGACCGAGCAACGCCGCGUGAGUGAAGAAGGUUUUCGGAUCGUAAAACUCUGUUGUUAGAGAAGAACAAGUAGGAGAGUAACUGCUCUUACCUUGACGGUAUCUAACCAGAAAGCCACGGCUAACUACGUGCCAGCAGCCGCGGUAAUACGUAGGUGGCAAGCGUUGUCCGGAUUUAUUGGGCGUAAAGCGAGCGCAUGCGGUUUCUUAAGUCUGAUGUGAAAGCCCCCGGCUCAACCGGGGAGGGUCAUUGGAAACUGGGAGACUUGAGUGCAGAAGAGGAGAGUGGAAUUCCAUGUGUAGCGGUGAAAUGCGUAGAUAUAUGGAGGAACACCAGUGGCGAAGGCGACUCUCUGGUCUGUAACUGACGCUGAGGCUCGAAAGCGUGG